CUUAUUUGUUCACGUCGUGUUCAUGGUCGUGUCUAAAAUUGCUACCCUAGAUUUGAGACCCCACAAUCCGUGUUCUUUUUUGAGCUUCCUAUGGAGAGGAGAGGGAAGGUCCAAGUACAAGCCAAGAUUGGCUGCAAUUCAAAAUAAGCCACUUCAGUUUUCUUAAACCUUUUAAAGAAGUGAGAGUUUUGUACAUGUAAGGUAAGGUUUUUGGCAUUUGGGUUCUUUCCUGUAAACGUUUUGAUGAUACGCGUAUUGUUACAUUUGCUAUAGUAGGGAUUUUAUCAGUCUAUGGAUGAAGUCAUAGAUUAAUUUUACUUUGAAUUUAGCCAUCUGGGUAUUUCUCACAACUUGUUUGAUGUGGGUUUUGCGAUUGAAGUAAUUUGGUGUCGAUUGUUUUGGAAGUGAAAAUCUAUUCUGCGAUCAGGGUUUUGGUUAGAAGCAUGUUCGGUGAUCUGGGUUUAGCUCAAAAACCAGAACAGCGAUCAGUUUUUUUUUUUCUUUUUGCUUGAACUUAGCUGGUGAAGGUUGUUUGACUACAAGGAGGUUACGGUAUUCUGAAGAAUAAACGUUUGGUGAUAUCAGGCUUUUAGUUGAUGAAGUUUGGUGAUUUGAAUAUUUAUUAAUUUUGGAAAUUUGUUUCAAUUGAAAUUGAUAAGUGAGUUAUCUUCGAAAUUUUGUUUCUGCACUGGAAUUGAUAAAAUUUUGGCAUGUGAAUUUUAUGACUUGAAAGUUGGAAACUUUGGAAUGGCGACUGCAUCUCCACCCCCAAAUUCAUCCACUUCUGCUCUUCCACCAGGUUCAACCACUCCACUACCGCCAUCCACCUCUAAUUCGCAACCACCCUUCACCACCAGUCCGCCACCACAAUCUUCCUCUUCUCCACCCGACCCUCCUACGAUUUCUCCCCCUUCACAGCCCAAUGCCAAUCCAACAGACCUCUCUGCCCCUUCAAGUCUAUCCCCACCUCCUCAGUCCCCUCCUUCUGCUGUUGUUGCAAAGCCUCCACCUUCUACACCAUCAACCUCACCACCUCCAACUUCACCUCCUCCACCUUUACUCAAUGCUGAUCCUCCAACCUCCAAUUCUCCACCACCGCCUUCACAAGCAGCAAGUCCACCCAUAAGUUCGCCUCCUCCCUCACCACCAUCUAAUCCAACUUCACCACCACCAACCCCCAAUCCACGUACAAGUUCUUCACCACCACCAACAACAACCCCACCAGCUAAUUCGCCUCCACCAACAUCACCAAAUCCACCUCUACCAUCAUCAAAGCCACCUGAAAA
rnacentral:misc_RNA from 1 species